rnacentral:rRNA from 1 species
AAGCCAGACUCCUACGGGAGGCAGCAGUGGGGAAUAUUGCACAAUGGGGGAAACCCUGAUGCAGCGACGCCGCGUGAGUGAAGAAGUAUCUCGGUACGUAAAGCUCUAUCAGCAGGGAAGAAAAAAAGUCUUUGGCUUUGAACGGUACCUGACUAAGAAGCCCCGGCUAACUACGUGCCAGCAGCCGCGGUAAUACGUAGGGGGCAAGCGUUAUCCGGAUUUACUGGGUGUAAAGGGAGCGUAGACGGCAGCGCAAGUCUGGAGUGAAAUGCCGGGGCCCAACCCCGGAACUGCUUUGGAAACUGUGCAGCUAGAGUGCGGGAGAGGUAAGCGGAAUUCCUAGUGUAGCGGUGAAAUGCGUAGAUAUUAGGAGGAACACCAGUGGCGAAGGCGACUUUCUGGACUGUACCUGACGCUGAGGCGCGAAAGCGUGGGUAGCGAACGGGAUUAGAUACCCGUGUAAG